GAUCUUCAUCCUGUCCUUAUGGAUUCCCAGGAGGUCUUCUUUCACAAGGUUCAUCGGCAGACAUCUGCACGAGACACAUGGAACACAUGAGCAUCGCUUCUCACAUUCAUUAUAUCGAGCUGCUGCAGAUGUUCUCACCUGUUGACUGACCGGCUCCUGUUCUUACUUCUCCGCCUCUGGAAUUUCUCAUCGUCUGACGAGGAGGACGUGGAGUCGCUACUGUGGAUGGCGUGUCUCCGUCUUUGUCAUACUAACAGGCUGGUUCUUCUCCUGUUGUAGGGGCUCCUUGGGGCCGUGGAGCUGAAUCUGAACCUGCGUCUGGUAGGAGAUGAGUGGUCCUUGAAGUACAUGCUGCGCUUCCUGGGCUCUCUGGGUUC